rnacentral:rRNA from 1 species
UAGAUACCCUAUUUUUAAGAACAAAAAAGUGUUUGUAAAUUUUAAAAUAUAGAAAAUGCAAAAAAUUAUAGGCGGUAUCUUAAGCUUUUCAGAGAGAAUUUGCUCUUUAAUGGAUAUAACACCCUAAUCUUACUUAAACUAGUAAAUAACAGUUUGUAUACCACUAUAAUAAUAAUAAUUUAUUUUUAUUAUUAAAUUUCUUUUAUUUGGAUAAAAAUUAAGUCAAGGUGCAGCUUAAGUUUAAGAAUGAAGUGAAUUACAUUUCUUUUUAGAAAAAAAAAAUAAAUGAAACAAAUAUUAGGAUUUGAAUAGUAAAAUUAAAAUAGAAAAGUUAAUUUGAAUUUAGCUCUAAAAUAUGUACACAUCGCCCGUCGCCU